rnacentral:rRNA from 1 species
UACGGAGGGGGCUAGCGUUAUUCGGAAUUACUGGGCGUAAAGCGUGCGCAGGCGGUUUUGUAAGUCAGAUGUGAAAUCCCCGAGCUCAACUUGGGAACUGCGUUUGAAACUACAAGACUAGAAUAUGUCAGAGGGGGGUAGAAUUCCACGUGUAGCAGUGAAAUGCGUAGAGAUGUGGAGGAAUACCAAUGGCGAAGGCAGCCCCCUGGGAUAAUAUUGACGCUCAUGCACGAAAGCGUGGGGAGCAAACAGG